rnacentral:lncRNA from 1 species
UAUAAACCAAACCUGAUGUUGCCAGCUCCUUCAAUGAAUGCAGCAGUGUGACAGCCAACAAUCAAAAGUAACAAGAUAUCGAGGAAAUGCAGAAGGCAAAAAACUGCGUAGGAGAUCAUUAAUACAAUAGUAUUAUAUAAACCAAGCCUGAUGUUGGCCGCUCAUUCAAAGAAUGCAGCAGUGUGACAGCCAGCAAUCAAAAGUAACAAGAUGUCGAGGAAAUGCAGAGUGUAAUAAACUGUGUAGGAGAUUAUGAUUGCAAUAGAAUAAAAUCGACCAAGCCUGAAGUCCUUCAAUGCACGCAGCAGUGUGACAGCCAGCAAUCAAAAGUUACAAGAUAUCGAGGAAAUACAGAAGGCAAAGAAGCAGAUGUCAUCAAAGAAGAUCUUUGUUCCUGCAAUGUUUCCGCAGACGAUACAUCCAACAGAGCGAAGUGGAAGGAAAAGACUCGGAAUAAAGACCCCACCACCAUAUGGGAACAAUGCAAGGGAGAGAGAGAGAAUAUAAUGUUAUAUUUUUAUUUUUUGAUAACAUAAAAUAA